CGAUAACGAACGAGACCUUAACCUGCUAAAUAGCUAGGCUUAGCUUCGGUUAGGCCGUCAGCUUCUUAGAGGGACUAUCGGUGUUUAACCGAUGGAAGUUUGAGGCAAUAACAGGUCUGUGAUGCCCUUAGAUGUUCUGGGCCGCACGCGUAAUACAAUGACGCAGCCAGCGAGUGCGACCUUUGCCGGAAGGCACGGGUAAUCUUGUGAAACUGCGUCGUGCUGGGGAUAGCCCUUUGCAAUUAUCGGGCUUGAACGAGGAAUGCCUAGUAAGCGCAAGUCAUCAGCUUGCGUUGACUACGUCCCUGCCCUUUGUACACACCGCCCGUCGCUACUACCGAUUGAAUGGCU
rnacentral:rRNA from 1 species